AUAUUCCGACAGGGGAGCGCCACAGCGCUGAGAGUGCGGCACCUUGGACAGGUGGGCCGCAGACCCUCUGAACCUCGCCCAGGUCAUUCUGGGUAGGAAGUUCGGGCAUUACUCAAG
rnacentral:ncRNA from 1 species